GUCUGGGGAACCCACCCGAGUGUCUCGGAAAGCAAGCAGCAGAAGUUGGCCCGAGCAGUGUGUGUUUGCUUGGAUUGGCUGGCGCGGCGGCGUGUGGAGCGCUGAUUGGUCGACGGGAAAUGGACUGAUUCCACAUUCAAACUAGAUAUUGUUGGAGAAGAUCAUGGUGAGAACACGACCGCUGGUUGACUUCGGCAAUCGGAGCUGGAUCCGGGCAACCAGAGGCUCCUCGCUCCGCCUCCCCUGACCUGGCAUGUACCUUCCGCCCACCGUUCCCACUGUGGGAGCCAUUUUCAAGGAUGCAGACUUGAGUAACCCCACCAUAUCCUCUCUGGACUAGACUUGUGAGAAGAAAAUUACCCCAUAAUUGUGCACAACACAUCUUUCAGUUGAAGAGACUCAGUCACUCACUGAAACAGCGCUGAAGGAGAAAAGGUUCCUCGGCUUCUGCUGUAGGGUAUGGCCUUCCCCCGCCUGACUGAAGAUGGUUGGUGGGCACCACCAUCCGAGCUGGAGGAGGAGGGGAGAACAGGAAGAACCAAACCAUUUGUUUAAAAGAAGUGACCCAGAGGUUGACUUCUGUUCAUUUCUCACUGGCCAGAACUUACUUACAGGUUUUGUCAGGAGU